GCGCACGCUGGCGGCAGGCCUAACACCUGCCAGUCGAACGAACUCUUCGGAGUUAGUGGCGGACGGGUGAGUAACACGUGGGAACGUGCCUUUUGGUUCGGAAUAACUCAGGGAAACUUGUGCUAAUACCGAAUGUGCCCUUCGGGGGAAAGAUUUAUCGCCAUUAGAGCGGCCCGCGUCUGAUUAGCUAGUUGGUGAGGUAACGGCUCACCAAGGCGACGAUCAGUAGCUGGUCUGAGAGGAUGACCAGCCACACUGGGACUGAGACACGGCCCAGACUCCUACGGGAGGCAGCAGUGGGGAAUCUUGCGCAAUGGGCGAAAGCCUGACGCAGCCAUGCCGCGUGAAUGAUGAAGGUCUUAGGAUUGUAAAAUUCUUUCACCGGGGACGAUAAUGACGGUACCCGGAGAAGAAGCCCCGGCUAACUUCGUG
rnacentral:rRNA from 1 species